AUCCAGACUUCCUACUGCGCUGUAUGAACAAGGAUAAUUCCUCGGUAACCAGCCUUACACUGGAGCCGUUGAGGUUUAAGUCGAGAGAGGUCACGAUUCUUUAGACAAUGAAUUAUUGGAUCCUUUCCGUCCUUUUCUUGCCUCACGUGUUCGCCCUUUCCCUCGUGGAUCAGGAAUUUGUAGGGAAAUGUCUGUACUACCAGACCACCAUCAACCCGCAGCCAUUUGUUACUCAGAGAAAGAACUGUACCUUGCUCUGGGAGAGUUUCCGUGACGCCAUUGCUUACCAGCCGGCAUGUCACGUGCCGAGGGAAAGGUUUACUCAGUUUGUUAGAGACAGUCAGCACGCCAUAGCAAGGGACAAGUUCGUUUUCUGGGAAAAUGUGUAUGAUAUUGUGAUGAGGUACUCAAACAGAGGGAGAAGGACCUUCUCAAUCGCCGACACCCUUACAGGUUUCCUUGGCGAUACUAAGUUUUGUGGAAGCAACAGUUCUGCUGAUGGCGUAGAACAGGACCGCAGCAAGUGUCCCGGAUAUGACCAGACGCCGGAAUGUCCGUGGUCGGCCGAGGCUGCUUUUUGGACGGAAGCUUCCGAUUAUUUUUCCAAGUCGGCUUAUGGGGAUAUAGAACUUAUGCUGAAUGCCCGCUCAAACACACCUCUCACCAAUGAUUCAUACUUCAGUCGAUUUGAGUUGCCAAACCUUAAGGGUCCAAACGUGACAUCUCUUCGUGUUCUCUUUGCCCUGAACUCCGCCUUACCGCCGAGAGAGACUUGUUCAGGCUCAUCAGUAGAACUGGUUAAAAGAACACUUGCACAACAAGGGGUCACGAACGUAACUUGCGAGGUUAAUCCAAGUUCACUAAAGUUUCAGUUUUGUUCAGAGGAUCCGAGGUUACCUUUCUGUACUAAGGAUUGUGAUUCUAGUAGCACGUGGUCUGUUCAUGGUCACGUCAUCACCUUGUGUUUUGCCAUUGUCUUCUGUAAAAUGCUAUUCCUAAUUUAGUAUCAUUAGUCUAUUUGAUUCAAUAUCAACAUUAUCUACUAAUUGGAAGAGACCGGAAAAAAUGAAAUAAUACUUCGAAAUGAGUUAAAUGCGUUUAAAAAAACCAAAAUUUUAACAAUAAAAACAAAAAGCACACAGACAUAUGAAUUCAUAUCAAAGGUCAAGAAUCAGUCGAAUACUGUGGUUUCAUCAAUGUUCGUUAAAUUCCAAUUCUUUGGAUUUCGUUAUAAAGUUGAUCCACAAAAAUAAGUGUUCAUUGAAGUGCAAUUUUUAUUAACAUUUUGUAUUGAUAUGGUCAUUGGCCACGAAUUUACGUAUCCUUGAAACUGUGAGUUUCACUUUAUCCACGAAAAUUGAUACCCUUGAAUAUUAAUAAAACCACAGUAUUAUU
rnacentral:misc_RNA from 1 species